AUAAUAAACAAAUGUUCGGUU
ensembl:piRNA 21ur-1313 ncRNA